CGCGGGCGGGCUGCGCCCUUCCGUGGGAGCCUCGAGGGAAGGGCGGCGGGCUCUGCCGCGCGAUGUGGCGGCCCGCCGUCUACCGGCGUACGAAGUGGCUCCGCGUCAGAUCGCAAAUACGUAUAAAUAGCUGUUAGUGAUACCAGAUAUCAAGUUAAAAUUGUAUCAGAUGCAACAUCUGAUUAGCACAGCCCUGAGCGUGUUCCUUUUGUGUACAGGCAUUCAAGGAAGUGCAGUCUUUACGCUACUGACAUGUGGCACAGCGUCGCAUCUGGACAAGGAACAGGAAAAGCACAGCAUUCAGGAAGGUCUUACUACAACUGUACAACUGUAGAAGGUGCAGUCAUAUGGACCAUUUGGACAACUUGCCCAUCACUGCAAAGCCGCAUAUUAAACUCAUUAAAAGGAAAACCAGCCUCCACCAGAGUAAGCUUCUCAUGGGAUGAAAUGCUUUUGGCUGCUAUGGUUACUAAUGUGAUGUUCCAUUUACUUCCUUGUUCACUCACCUGCUUUCCCAUUCAAACACCAUACAUGAGUAUCUUCAUAGAUAUUGCUGGAAUAGUGACAAACCUCAUUAGUGCCAGCCAUGCAUAACCAAGAGAAAAAAAACCAUACAAAUGAACAGGGAAUAAACAGAAGAAAGGAAAAUGCUGGAAUCUGUAG
rnacentral:lncRNA from 1 species